UUCUGGCUCAGGAUGAACGCUGGCGGCGUGCCUAACACAUGCAAGUACGAACGAAGCACUGGAAACGGAGAUUCGUCGAAGUUUUCUUGACUUAGUGGCGGACGGGUGAGUAAUGUAUGAGCAACCUGCCUUCAGAGGGGACAACAGUUGGAAACGACUGCUAAUACCGCAAUAAUGUAUUUGGGUGGCAUCACCUGGAUAACCAAAGGAGCAAUCCGCUGAAAGAUGGGCUCAUAUCUGAUUAGCUAGUUGGCGGGGUAACGGCCCACCAAGGCGACGAUCAGUAGCCGGACUGAGAGGUUGAACGGCCACAUUGGGACUGAGAUACGGCCCAGACUCCUACGGGAGGCAGCAGUGGGGAAUAUUGGGCAAUGGGCGAAAAACGCCUGACCCAGCAACGCCGCGUGAAGGAAGAAGGUCUUCGGAUUAGUAAACUUCUUUUAUGAGGGACGAAGGACGUGACGGUACCUCAUGAAUAAGCCACGGCUAACUACGUGCCAGCCGCCGC
rnacentral:rRNA from 1 species